GAGUUUGAUCCUGGCUCAGGAUGAACGCUAGCGGCAGGCUUAACACAUGCAAGUCGAGGGGUAGGUUACUUCGGUAAUUGAGACCGGCGCACGGGUGCGUAACGCGUAUACAAUCUACCUUUUACAGAGGGAUAGCCCAGGGAAAUUUGGAUUAAUACCUCAUAGUAUUUUUGAAUGGCAUCAUUUGAUUAUUAAAGUUCCAACGGUAAAAGAUGAGUAUGCGUCCCAUUAGCUAGAUGGUAAGGUAACGGCUUACCAUGGCAACGAUGGGUAGGGGUCCUGAGAGGGAGAUCCCCCACACUGGUACUGAGACACGGACCAGACUCCUACGGGAGGCAGCAGUGAGGAAUAUUGGACAAUGGGCGCAAGCCUGAUCCAGCCAUGCCGCGUGCAGGAAGAAGGUCCUAUGGAUUGUAAACUGCUUUUAUACAGGAAGAAACAACAUUACGUGUAAUGUCUUGACGGUACUGUAUGAAUAAGGACCGGCUAACUCCGUGCCAGCAGCCGCGGUAAUACGGAGGGUCCAAGCGUUAUCCGGAAUCAUUGGGUUUAAAGGGUCCGUAGGCGGCCAAAUAAGUCAGUGGUGAAAGCCCAUCGCUCAACGAUGGAACGGCCAUUGAUACUGUUUGGCUUGAUUAUUAGGAAGUACUAGAUAUGUAGUGUAGCGGUGAAUGCUAGAGAUACAUGGAUACCAUUGCGAAGGCAGUACACUAUAUAUGACC
rnacentral:rRNA from 1 species